rnacentral:rRNA from 1 species
UUUGGGUAACUGAGGGGGGGAAGUGGCGAAAGGGGCAGUAAGGCGUGGGUAACCUACCCCGGGGACCGGGAUAGCCUUCCUAACGGAUGGGUAAUACCGGGCGAUCUGACGAGGGGGCAUCUCCUUGUCAGGAAAUGAAUUUCGCCUCGGGCGGGGCUCACGUGAUAUUAGCUUGUUGGCGGGGUAACGGCCCACCAAGGCCAAGAUGUCUAGCGGGUGUGAGAGCACGACCCGCGCCACUGGCACUGAGACACUGGCCAGACACCUACGGGUGGCUGCAGUCGAGGAUCUUCGGCAAUGGGCGCAAGCCUGACCGAGCGACGCCGCGUGCGCGAUGAAGGCCUUCGGGUUGUAAAGCGCUGUCGAGGGGGAGGAAAGCCGCAAGGUUUGACCUAUCCCUGGAGGAAGGACGGGCUAAGUUCGUGCCAGCAGCCGCGGUAAGACGAACCGUCCAAACGUUGUUCGGAAUCACUGGGCUUAAAGGGCGCGUAGGCGGACUGCCAAGUCCGGGGUGAAAUCUUUCGGCUUAACCGGAAAAGGGCCUUGGAAACUGGCGGUCUCGAGGGAGGUAGGGGCCUGUGGAACUUCGGGUGGAGCGGUGAAAUGCGUUGAUAUCCGAAGGAACGCCGGUGGCGAAAGCGACGGGCUGGAUCUCUUCUGACGCUGAGGCGCGAAAGCCAGGGGAGCAAACGGGAUUAGAUACCCCGGUAGUCCUGGCCCUAAACGAUGAGGACUAGGUUGCGGACUGAACAUGGGUUCGCAGCCGAAGCAAAAGUGGUAAGUCCUCCGCCUGGGGAGUAUGGUCGCAAGGCUG